GCAAGUUUAGUUAAAAUAGGACUGAUAUGCUCUGUAUGUCGAUAGAUCAAAAAACUUCCAUUUCUAUGGCUUCCUCUAAUAACCUCUUAUCUUCUUCUCAAAUCCAUCGUCAUCGACCCAAGGAUUUCACCCCUCAAUUCUCUUUUCCUCCUCUCGAUUCCUUCUCUAAUUCUUCUCCUAUUCGCCUCGAAACUCGAAUAGUUUUCUCCAAAAAAAGGGGCAUUUUUUGUGCUUCCACUAAUAAUGCAAAUGCUGCAAGCUCAAUUCCUUUGAAAUCUGAACAGGAUGAUUAUGUUCCCAUGCCAGUAGUUCUGAUAGACCAAGAUUCUGACUCUGAAGCAACGAUUGUACAAAUCAGCUUUGGAGAUCGUCUUGGAGCUCUCAUUGAUACGAUGAAGGCCUUGAAAGAUUUGGGAUUGGAUGUAGCAAAAGGAUCUGUUCUCACUGAAGGAUCUGUUAAGCAAACAAAAGUCUUUAUUACUCGUUUAGACAAUGGGCGAAAAGUUGAAGAUCCUGAUAUGUUAGAGAGAAUUCGACUUACCAUCAUUAGCAACCUUCUGAAGUACCAUCCAGAAUCUAGUGAGCAACUUGCUAUGGGUGAGGCUUUUGGAAUAAAGGCUCCUGAGAAAAAGCUUGAUGUUGAUAUUGCAACCCAUAUACAUGUCAAAGAUGAUGGACCCAAGCAGAGCUUGCUUUACAUUGAGACGGCAGAUCGACCUGGAUUACUUGUUGAAAUCAUUAAAAUCAUGGCUGAUAUCAAUGUUGAUGUCGAAUCAGCAGAGAUUGAUACAGAAGUCUCUCUCUCUCUUUCUCUACUUGCCCCACUAAAACACACACUUCCACAUGCCCUCAGGUAAUUGUCACCAGUUUUGCAUUCUUUUGUCACUAAUUUCUCCCUGUCAUCACCCAGGGUUUGAUAGCCAAAGACAAGUUUCGUGUCAGCUACAGAGGGUCAGCCUUAAACAGUUCAUUGUCUCAGGUGAUAACAAUUGUUUGAUGAUUACUAACCAUUGUCCUUGGGUUAUAUUUACUCCCAAUUCUCCCGUGCUCGCUUUCUUGCCUUGGUGCCCAAAUUUAUGAAUAGAUUGCCAGAAUUAAAUCACGAUUCAAAGCGACGCAUGUUUCUGAUAUGCUGUCUCCAUCUCGCAAUAUUUCAUUUGAAUCUAUAGGUUCUGAUGAACUGUCUGCGUUACUACCUCAGAAGGCCAGAAACAGACAUCGAUAGCUAUUGACACUUGGGGGACUCACUUUUCAACUGUGAACUCAAUGUAACGGCCCUUGUACCAAAGUGCUAUUGAGCUCAAAGUCGCCUGCUAAGUUGUGUGUAUGUCUCUAAUGUCCUGAGAGAUCAUGUUCGUAACUGUAAUCUGAUGCUUGUAGAGCAAAAUGUGCAUAUGAAUUCCGUUAUUCAUCAUCAAAGUAAUAAUAUAAGGAAUGUUAGAACUAAUCAUUUGUGCCUUGCUACUUGCUCCACCUGUUUACGAAGAAAGAGGGAUUGCGGAGGCCAUUGAAGGCCAAAGCGUGUGCCACCAAGUUAGCUUCCCUCUUAAGUAGGGAGGCUCAAUUCCGGUUGUAGUUCGGGGUCUGCUUAGAAAUCAGAAUCAAACCAAAAUUUAGAUAUACUUCCCUUUCAAGUUGAAUUGGUGUCGCUGAGCCACACAAAGAUUGUAUAACUGAGAGAGAAUCUCCUUUCAACAGCUAAUAGAAUUGCCUCUGUGCAGGCUAGAGCUUCCAAAGUCAAGGGGUCUGAAAUAUGCGUGCGUAAUUUGCAACGCCAGCCUAUGGAAAAACCCGAGGUCUUUGGCAACAGCAGCCAAAGAAUCACAAAUGGCAUUCUUGGAGACUACAGCAUCAAAGUUUAUUUUGAUUACUUCUCUUGGUGGAUGAGUCCACACAACAGCAUGAGGCAUUAAUGGAGAAGGCCAGGGGUUCUGACUGAUGCUUGCAGUUGACAAGUCCUCAUAAUGGUUCAAGGCAGCUAUUAAAAUUUCCAAGAAAUAAUUUUUUCUUGCAAAGAAAACACCGGCUGUUUUGAUUCUUCCAUAUCGGCCAAAGCUGGGAUUUGUGGUAAUUCAGGAUCGCGAUCAUGCUGAUUGAGGAAGUCCUGUAGUUCAUCCCAAGACUCAGUAUCAAGGAGCGCAGUCUGAGGGGAGAGUAGAGCCAGAUUUCUAUAGCUCUUGGACAAUCGAAGAACAAAGUGCUUGGCCAAUUCUCUGACAUCAUAAAAGGCUCAAUUGGGGGACACUCCAGGAAUUCUUUGAUUGAUCAGUUCUUUAGUGGGCAAUCAGUCUUUGAUACAGGACCACAAGAAAAUGAAGAGUUCACCGGGAAGCUUUAAAGACCAAAUAUAUAUAUAUAUAUAUCUUUCUGAUUAAACUUCAAACUUCUAAUAUUUUUUUUUUAUUUUCUUUCUGAAAAAACUUUAAACUUCCUAUUUUAAUUUAAUCGCCUAAUUUCAAUUGAACUUAAACUCUAACAAAACAUAUUCGAUUCUAUCCUCCUAAUUUCAAUAUCCGUCUUCCUUCUUUUCGUUUAAAUUUGCAUUUUCUUCAAUUUUAUUGGAUAGCGGAACUCAAUAUAAGCUAUUGUUAUAAACAGAUAUAGGCGUGUGUAUAAAUACUGUGCUAUCAUGUUCUGUACACAUCUCUGCAACAAAAUCCUCUCUGCAUCAUAUGCUUACAAGCUACACACUAAACCCUAAAGAAUUUGUAUUCUAACUCAUUCACAUAAUGGGGAAAUUUACAGACAGAAAUGCAAUUAUUUAACUAAAUAAGGCAUCAAACAUAUAAAUCAAAAGCAGAUGAUCAUGAGAAACUGUAUAUGAUCUAAAUGGAAUGUGGUACUCCAAUUCUAUUUCCACUGAAUCAUAGCCAGAGACAUGAUUAAUGCCAUCAACCAAGGGAAACUGUGUUGAAGACUUGAACCAGCUGCAAAAGAAAGAUGUGACACGAGAAUGUUAAAUAUAAAAGCAAAAGCUUGCAGUAUCAUAUAUUGAAGGGAGCUGAUUCCUGAAAAAGCAUAUUUGUCAACAGAUAAGUUCUUUCCAUUAAGAAAUGGAUGGGAUGGGAAUUUACUAUAGCCAACAGUUGCUAGUUGAAAUAUUAAUUGUGUCCUUAAAUCCACAAUGGUAAUAUCACCUUUUAUAGCUGUAUCCAUGUGGAUACCCUGGAAUUAAUUCUAACCUGAUUGAAUGUUGUCUAAAUAUUUACUUCUUCAAGAGGAAUGCUAAGGAUAUUCUGGAUAUUAUUUACAGGCUUAAAUUGACAGCCUCACCUUGAUUCUGACCGCUAUCAGUUAAUACAGGUGCUGGAGAAGCUGACUUAUUUGAAAUCGAAAUCCCAAGUCCUGAACAAUCCAUUCCAAUCGAACAUUCUUUCAAGCAUGGAAAGUUAGAGACAUUGAGAAGGUUAUAGUAACCCUCUGUACAUUCGCAACUGUAAGUGAAAGUAGAUGUCUUGUUACAGGAACCGCCUCCACAAUCAGUCCAAAAACAGGCUUCAAAACAGAAAGAACAGAAACCUCAAGUCUUUAUUAAGGAAAUUAUCAAAUGGCAACACGAAAAUUUGGAAAUAGCCAGGCUUACGAUCAAAAAUUGAUGCAUUAGCUUUGCUUGCUUUAUUUUGAAUCGGUGAGGGAGCUGCCUGACAUAAGUAGUCCAGGGUACCUAAAACGAUACAAUUAAUCAGCAAUGCAGAAGAACUAUUGCUGAAAAAUGACUUAAUUAUAAAAAGAAAACCAGUCCCUUAUCCAAAGUUGGUGAAGAUAAUCACACAACCUAAUCUUUGACUUGAUAUAGGUAAAAUAUCACUAUCUAAUCUUGACAAGUGUUUUUGUUUGUGUCUCUUAAAUUAGUGAAGUUUAUCACGACAAGGGUCCUUAAGGAGACAUUGAUUAACAUGCAUUACCGACCUAAAUAAAAGAUAUCAUUUUUUAAAGAAAACUUUAAUUUAUUUCCUGUGAUUAAAGGCACAGGAUGAAGGGAUAUGCUAUGGUCAUACACCCUUUGACUCCAGAAUACUGUACUUUCAUUUUUUUUUUUUUCCAUCCUUCAUAUUCUUAUUCUAAAUAUCAGACCACCAAAAUUAGAAUCUUUUCUGGUAAAUUUAUUAUCUAUGUUCUUAAUUUUCUCCAUACCUUCUAAGAAUAAGAAUUCGCAAAUCAUACACCCACUCAGCUUUAACAAAUUAAAUCAAAUACAGUAAAAAAGGGAAAAAAUCAUUGCAUAGACAGAAUCACAAGCAAUAGAAAACAGUCACAAUAUUAAGUCGAAACAGAGUUGAUAAAGUGCUUGUGUAUUGGAUUCUAUGCGAUUCGAUUGAUGUAUUUAAGGAUAGAGAGAGAGAAGGAGAGAGCUCACAGUUGGGAACUAUGCAAGGAAGAAACUUGUGAUGAUCAUCAUGGUCAGAGCGAGUCUGCUUCCAACCAGAAUCACAUUCACAUUCAUAAAACAAAGUGCUAGCUGUUAAGGAAUUGAAGAAGUAGAAUAAACUAAAAACAGGAGAGAGAAGUGGAGAUAGAAAGUCACUCCUUGCAAUCAUAGGUUGCAGAAGAAGAUGGGUUACAAGAGAAGCAAAGGUACAAGCAUAAGCCAUCUCUAGAGCAGAAAGAGAGAGAGAUGGCAUGGAUUAACAUUAUUUGAUAUUUGUAAUAUAACAUGAUCCAUAUUUUUAAAUUAUUUCAUUUAUUAAAUUCAAUACUAACAAAUAGGAAAAUAAUAUAUUGUUCUCAUUUUUCUAAUCAUUUACUGAAUUUCGUGAACUCAUUAUGUUUAGAUCGGAG
rnacentral:misc_RNA from 1 species